CAGAGAAUCAAGCGGUUGCCUUCUGAGGGCUGAAGCGUAUAUCAGUACCAGAACCAGCUGGGGACUUUUCUCAGAUCUUCACUGUGAGAACCUGCUAGAGUCCUUGGAGAUAAAACUCACGAAAGUGUAAAGAUAGCUCUAUGGCAAGGUCUUCUUGGAGUUUUUAAUUCUCAGACUUAACCACAUUCAGCUUCCAGCAAUUCAUCAAUUAGAGUUCAGGUUUUCCUAACCUUGUUCUGGUUCCUGCAGAGGCACAAAGAUUACUGCUUGUGAGUUUCUGCUCUGGAAUGGAUGUUUUCUUUUAAAAAUGGUUUAUUGAAGUAUCAUGUACCUAUCUUAAGUGUACAGCACGAUGAUGUGUAUGCCCAUGUAACCAUCACCUAGAAGGAUGAGAACCACAAGCAUGAGAACAUGAGGAUAAAUACACUUUGGGGAAAAAGAAAACAGACAGAGGCAGCAGAGAAGGAAGACGAGAAGAAGAGAAAAAGAGAAGUAGGAAGAGGAUGAAUUCAUUUCGCUUAUCUGGCAAAUGUGUAAUCUGAGUAAUAGAGGGAACAACAGAUUGGACCCAACUAGGAUCUCCCUUGGAGUGGAUCAGACUGAUGAUUUCCACUAUCCAAAAGCUUCCUGAAUAAAAAAGAAGAAGGUGUCACCUACUUCAAUGUGACAUUGACCCCACCACUACAUCUUAAAGACCCUGUGUUAUUUCAGCAAUAAUGCCCCUGCCCAUCAAUCCAACUGGUGUUUUCAUUCCUCAUCUUAGUCUUAAGUGCAUUCAACUGAUGCUUUAUUCUAGAGGUACUCUGUUCCUUUCACCUUUAUGUGGCCAUCUUUACCCUGUUUUGUCAUAAUACUCUUUUAAAAAACCAACUUUUAAAAUGUUAAAUUGUGGUAAAAUACAAACAAACAAUUGACUGGCUUAACCAUUUGUAAGUGUCCGGUUCAGUAAAUAUGCACAUUAUCAUGCAACCAUCACCACCAUCCAUCUCCAGAAUGUUUUUCUCUUUGCAAAAUUGAAACUCUGUAAACAUUAAAAAGCAACUCUUUUUAUUCUCUUCCCAUCAGCUCCUCGCAACCACCACACUACUUUCCCUCUCUAUGAAUAUUUCUAUACCAGGUACCUCCUAUGACUGGAUCACACAGUAUUUAUCCUUUCAUGCCUG
rnacentral:lncRNA from 1 species